UCCGCCCCUGUCGAUCGUUGCAGCUUUUUCCCAGGAAUUCGCCCCAAUGUCUCACAAUUAAUCUGCUUCAUGCCCGAGGAAGCGAGAGCCGAGAUCAACCAGUGGUUCGAGAGCGUGACGGCAGGCCGGAUCACGGAGCUCGUGCCCCAAGGCACCAUCAACAGCUACAUGGUGGCUGUCCUCGGGAAUGCGAUGUAGUUCAAGGGCGCCUGGCGCAGCAAGUUCGACCUUCUACAUGCACGCCUUCGGCCACCACGUCCGCGCGGCCUUCAUGUCGAGCGGCGAGCGGCAGCCUGCCGUUCCGGCUACAAGGUGCUCAGGCUCCCGCACGCGCUCGGUAGCCGCGGCGGCAAGAGCCGACGGUGAUUCUCCUUGUACAUCUACCUCCCGAACGAGUGCCAUGGCCUGCAGGCCCUGCUGCAGAUGCUAGGGUCCCGCCCGGAGCUGCUCGACGACUCCUCGAGCCUCAUGACCCAGGUCCCCGUGGGCGCCUUCAAGGUGCCCGUGGUUCGCCUCGUUGAAUCUGGUCGCUGAAGUGCCCAUGUGGGCGCUCGAGCUCGGCAUGCUCGCGGGUGGACGCGGAGGCCCGGGACUCAUCUCCACCAGAUCAGCGGCCGCAGGCAUCCCACAUCAGAGGGCUCCACAGAGUCGGCCUCCUCUUCCCGCGGGACACGCUGAUAAAUCGGAAUAAGAGCCGAGGGACGCCGGUGAGGACGCCCGGCUUGGCAUAUUGGUCGUGUCGCAGGCCUCCCGGGGUGAAUCGCCGACGGCCUCCCCACCUUAUUGGGUUCCAGGAACAUAUUGGUCUUGUGAUAUUCCAAGUCUGUAUUUUGGCAUGUCUUCUUUGGUUUCACAAACUUGUAUGAUUCGCCUAAAAUGACAUGAAUCGCAUCAUUCAAAAUGGUAGUGAUGAAAUGCAGUGACAAUUCAAACUUCCUC